rnacentral:rRNA from 1 species
CGCUGGCGGCGUGCCUAAUACAUGCAAGUCGAGCGAACGGACGAGAAGCUUGCUUCUCUGAUGUUAGCGGCGGACGGGUGAGUAACACGUGGAUAACCUACCUAUAAGACUGGGAUAACUUCGGGAAACCGGAGCUAAUACCGGAUAAUAUUUUGAACCGCAUGGUUCAAAAGUGAAAGACGGUCUUGCUGUCACUUAUAGAUGGAUCCGCGCUGCAUUAGCUAGUUGGUAAGGUAACGGCUUACCAAGGCAACGAUGCAUAGCCGA